ACGGGGGGGGCAAGCGUUGUUCGGAAUUACUGGGCGUAAAGGGCUCGUAGGCGGCCAACUAAGUCGGAUGUGAAAUCCCCAGGCUUAACCUGGGAACUGCAUCCGAUACUGGAUGGCUUGAAUCCGGGAGAGGGAUGCAGAAUUCCAGGUGUAGCGGUGAAAUGCGUAGAUAUCUGGAGGAACACCGGUGGCAAAGGCGGCCUUCUGGUCGGAUACUGACGCUAAAACGCGAAAGCGUGGGGAGCAAACAGGA
rnacentral:rRNA from 1 species